UACGAAGGACCCGAGCGUUAUCCGGAUUUAUUGGGUUUAAAGGGUGCGUAGGCGUCCUGGAAAGUUACGGUUGAAAUCUCCUUGCUCAACAAGGAAACUGGCCGUAAAACUAUCAGGAUUGGGUACAUUUGAAGCGGGCGGAAUGUGUCAUGUAGCGGUGAAAUGCUUAGAUAUGACACAGAACACCAAUUGCGAAGGCAGCUCGCUAAACUGUAACUGACGCUGAGGCACGAAAGCGUGGGGAUCAAACAGG
rnacentral:rRNA from 1 species